rnacentral:lncRNA from 1 species
UCGCCAUUAUUGAAAAUAUGAUAUGAGAUGAAGGAAAAUUACCAUUAUUAAAAAUUAUAAUAUAAGACAGAAGAAAUUGUCAACAUUUCGAGGGAGAAUGCAUAACUAGUGUCUAAGGUAUGAGACAUUCAUCCUCCUCCAACUCCCUAGUGCUGUGCUAUUCAUCUCAAUUCUCCUCCUCCAACUCCCUAAUGCUGUGCUAUUCAUCUCAAUUCUCCUCCUCCAACUCCCUAGUUCUGUACUAUUCAUCUCGAUCCCUUGUUGCUCUUGAUCGCCAAUGCAACCGGCUAUACUCAAUAUGCAAUCAUUCCUUCGACCGCCGCCAACACGACUGGCUAUACUCGAUAUACAAUCUCUCCUUCCUUGCGCAGUGACUCCUCUCACGGGGCGUUCGCACGAUCCAGGCUCUCCAUCCAUGGUGCGUGGAAUUAGCGUGGAACGACGCCAUGCCGUGCCUCUCUCCUCCUCAGGCCGUUGCAGUCACUCCUUGCGCAAGGCACAUGCGUGCACCAGGAUCCAAGAGAAACGCCCCGCAAUGCUCGUCUUUUCUCGCCUCUCCAUCCGUGGUGCGUGGAAUUGGCGUGGAACGGUGCCAUGCUGCACCUCUUCCCCUUCAUACCAUGGUGCCCUCUGCCGACUCCUUACUGCUGUGUUUACCUCGAUCCUCGACUGCUUGCAACCGCCAAAAUAGCCGACUUUACUUACUCUGCAAUCACUCCUGCCGUGGCCGAUUUCCACAAUCCAAGACGAAUGCCUUGCAGCGCCCAUUCCCUUCCGCCUCGAAUUGGCAUGGAAUAAAGCCAUGUCGCACCUCUUUCCUCCUCCGACCGCUGCAGUCACUCAUCGCACGGGGCGCAUGCGUGCACCACGAUCCAAGAUAAACUCCCUACGACGGCUCUUUCAAUCCGACUCUACGUGCAUGGUACGUGGAAUAGCAACAUGCCGUGCC